UACAGAGGGUGCAAGCGUUAAUCGGAAUUACUGGGCGUAAAGCGCAUGUAGGCGGCGAUUCAAGUUAGAUGUGAAAGGCCCGGGCUCAACCCGGGAACUGCAUUUGAUACUGAAUUGCUAGAGUCCAAGAGAGGGUAGUGGAAUUCCCAGUGUAGAGGUGAAAUUCGUAGAUAUUGGGAAGAACACCAGUGGCGAAGGCGGCUACCUGGCUUGGUACUGACGCUCAGAUGCGAAAGCGUGGGGAGCAAACAGG
rnacentral:rRNA from 1 species